rnacentral:rRNA from 1 species
GUUGUAUGGUUAAGUGACUAAGCGUACACGGUGGAUGCCUUGGCAGUCAGAGGCGAUGAAGGACGUAUUAACUUGCGAUAAGCCCAGAUUAGACAGUAAAAGUCAUUUGAGUCUGGGAUUUCCGAAUGGGGAAACCCACUUACAGAAGUAAGUAUCUUGUUGUGAAUACAUAGCAACAAGAAGCAAACCGGGGGAACUGAAACAUCUAAGUACCCCGAGGAAGAGAAAUCAACCGAGAUUCCGAAAGUAGCGGCGAGCGAAAUUGGAUUAGCCCUUAAGCNUUUAAUGAGACAGACGAAGGCUCUGGAAAGUGCCGCAAUAAAGGGUGAUAGCCCCGUAGGCGGCAUCUCAUCAUCAGUGAAAACGAGUAGGGCGCGAC